UACGUAGGGAGCAAGCGUUGUCCGGAAUCAUUGGGCGUAAAGCGCGCGUAGGCGGCCCUGUAAGUCCGUUGUGAAAGUCAAAGGCUCAACCUUUGAAAGCCGAUGGAUACUGCAGGGCUAGAGUCCGGAAGAGGCGAGUGGAAUUCCUGGUGUAGCGGUGAAAUGCGCAGAUAUCAGGAGGAACACCUAUGGCGAAGGCAGCUCGCUGGGACGGUAUUGACGCUGAGACGCGAAAGCGUGGGGAGCGAACAGG
rnacentral:rRNA from 1 species